rnacentral:rRNA from 1 species
AGAGUUUGAUCCUGGCUCAGGACGAACGCUGGCGGUGUGCCUCAUACAUGCAAGUCGAACGAUAAGGUUUCUUCGGAAAUACAUAAGUGGCGGACGGGUGAGUAUAACAUAGGAAAUCUGCCUUUAGGAGGGGGAUAACAGAGGGAAACUUCUGCUAAUACCCCAUAUGAGCCAAGCUGAAAUGCUUGUCUUGAAAACUCCGGUGCCUAAAGAUGAGCCUGUGCCUGAUUAGCUGGUUGGUGGUGUAAUGGACUACCAAGGCUUCGAUCAGUAGCUGGUUUGAGAGGAUGAUCAGCCACAAUGGGACUGAGACACGGCCCAUACUCCUACGGGAGGCAGCAGUAGGGAAUUUUGCGCAAUGGGGGAAACCCUGACGCAGCAACACCGCGUGAAUGUUAAGCCCUUCGGGGUGUAAAGUUCUGUCAGUAGGGAAGAAUAGAUGACUGUACCUACAAAGGAAGCACCGGCUAACUCCGUGCCAGCAGCCGCGGUAAUACGGGGGGUGCAAGCGUUGUCCGGAAUCAUUGGGCGUAAAGCGUUCGUAGGCGGUAAAGUAAGUCAGAUGUUAAAGCCCGGGGCUUAACUCCGGCUCGGCAUUUGAUACUACUUAACUGGAAUGCGGUAGAGGUAAAGGGAAUUCCUGGUGUAGCGGUGAAAUGCGUAGAUAUCAGGAGGAACAUCGGCGGCGAAAGCGCUUUACUGGGCCGUUAUUGACGCUGAGGAACGAAAGCCGGGGGAGCAAAUGGGAUUAGAUACCCCAGUAGUCCCGGCCGUAAACGAUGAACACUAGGUGUUGCGGG